CUAAGAAUAUUCCGCAAUGGACGAAAGUCUGACGGAGCGACGCCGCGUGGAUGAAGAAGGCCGAAAGGUUGUAAAGUCCUUUUGUUGGGGAAGAAUAAGCGCGGGAGGGAAUGCCCGCGUGAUGACAUGAACCGACGAAUAAGCCCCGGCUAACUACGUGCCAGCAGCCGCGGUAACACGUAGGGGGCGAGCGUUGUUCGGAAUUACUGGGCGUAAAGGGCAUGUAGGCGGCCUUGUAAGCCUGGCGUGAAAGUCACCGGCUUAACCGGUGGAUUGCGUCGGGAACUGCAGGGCUUGAGUCACGGAGAGGGAGCUAGAAUUCCUGGUGUAGGGGUGAAAUCUGUAGAGAUCAGGAAGAAUACCAAUGGCGAAGGCAAGCUCCUGGCCGAUGACUGACGCUGAGGUGCGAAAGUGUGGGGAUCAAACA
rnacentral:rRNA from 1 species